rnacentral:rRNA from 1 species
AUUGAACGCUGGCGGCAUGCCUUACACAUGCAAGUCGAACGGUAACAGGUCUUCGGAUGCUGACGAGUGGCGAACGGGUGAGUAAUACAUCGGAACGUGCCCGAUCGUGGGGGAUAACUACUCGAAAGAGUAGCUAAUACCGCAUACGAUCUACGGAUGAAAGCGGGGGAUCUUCGGACCUCGUGCGGACGGAGCGGCCGAUGGCAGAUUAGGUAGUUGGUGGGAUAAAAGCUUACCAAGCCGACGAUCUGUAGCUGGUCUGAGAGGACGACCAGCCACACUGGGACUGAGACACGGCCCAGACUCCUACGGGAGGCAGCAGUGGGGAAUUUUGGACAAUGGGCGAAAGCCUGAUCCAGCAAUGCCGCGUGCAGGAUGAAGGCCUUCGGGUCGUAAACUGCUUUUGUACGGAACGAAAAGACUCCUUCUAAUACAGGGGGUCCAUGACGGUACCGUAAGAAUAAGCACCGGCUAACUACGUGCCAGCCGCCGCAGUAACAC